UACAGAGGUCCCAAGCGUUGUUCGGAAUUAUUGGGCGUAAAGGGUGCGUAGGCGGUUUGGUAAGUCUCGUGUGAAAUCUCCGGGCUCAACUCGGAGCCUGCACGAGAAACUGCCGGGCUUGAGUGUGGGAGAGGUGAGUGGAAUUCCUGGUGUAGCGGUGAAAUGCGUAGAUAUCAGGAGGAACACCUGUGGCGAAAGCGGCUCACUGGACCAUAACUGACGCUGAUGCACGAAAGCUAGGGGAGCAAACAGG
rnacentral:rRNA from 1 species